UAACGAAUCGGUCUCUGAAAGCUUCCUC
rnacentral:sRNA from 1 species